CAGUAGCCGCGGUAAUACGAAGGGUGCAAGCGUUACUCGGAAUUACUGGGCGUAAAGCGUGCGUAGGUGGUGGUUUAAGUCCGUUGUGAAAGCCCUGGGCUCAACCUGGGAAUUGCAGUGGAUACUGGGUCACUAGAGUGUGGUAGAGGAUAGUGGAAUUUCCGGUGUAGCAGUGAAAUGCGUAGAGAUCGGAAGGAACAUCUGUGGCGAAGGCGACUAUCUGGGCCAACACUGACACUGAGGCACGAAAGCGUGGGGAUCAAACAGGAUUAGAUACCCGCGUAGUCCCUGUCUCUUAUAC
rnacentral:rRNA from 1 species